rnacentral:rRNA from 1 species
GUGGAUUAGAUACCCUGGUAGUCCACGCCGUAAACUAUGAUGACUCGCUGUUGGCGAUAUACUGUCAGCGGCUGAGCGAAAGCAUUAAGUCAUCCACCUGGGGAGUACGAUCGCAAGAUUGAAACUCAAAGGAAUUGACGGGGGCCCGCACAAGCGGAGGAACAUGUGGUUUAAUUCGAUGAUACGCGAGGAACCUUACCUGGGUUUGAACGUAGAGUGACCGGUGCCGAAAGGUGCCUUUCCUUCGGGACAGUCUACGAGGUGCUGCACGGCUGUCGACAACU